CGUAUCACUUAAAGCGAUUCAGCGGGUUACGAUUGACGGAGCGAAGCGACGUCAAAGCGUAUACAAAGUCGAGUCGGUUUAAGGAUACGUUCGUUGGGUAGGGGAGCGUUCUGUAAGCCUGUGAAGGUGUGUCGUGAGGCAUGCUGGAGGUAUCAGAAGUGCGAAUGCUGACAUAAGUAACGAUAAAGCGGGUGAAAAGCCCGCUCGCCGGAAGACCAAGGGUUCCUGUCCAACGUUAAUCGGGGCAGGGUGAGUCGACCCCUAAGGCGAGGCCGAAAGGCGUAGUCGAUGGGAAACGGGUUAAUAUUCCCGUACUUGGUGUUACUGCGAAGGGGGGACGGAGAAGGCUAUGUUGGCCGGGCGACGGUUGUCCCGGUUUAAGCGUGUAGGUGUGUGUUCCAGGUAAAUCCGGUUCACUUUAACACUGAGGCGUGACGACGAGGCACUACGGUGCUGAAGCAACAAAUGCCCUGCUUCCAGGAAAAGCCUCUAAGCAUCAGGUAACAUCAAAUCGUACCCCAAACCGACACAGGUGGUCAGGUAGAGAAUACCAAGGCGCUUGAGAGAACUCGGGUGAAGGAACUAGGCAAAAUGGUGCCGUAACUUCGGGAGAAGGCACGCUGACACGUAGGUGAAGUGAUUUACUCAUGGAGCUGAAGUCAGUCGAAGAUACCAGCUGGCUGCAACUGUUUAUUAAAAACACAGCACUGUGCAAACACGAAAGUGGACGUAUACGGUGUGACGCCUGCCCGGUGCCGGAAGGUUAAUUGAUGGGGUCAGCGCAAGCGAAGCUCCUGAUCGAAGCCCCGGUAAACGGCGGCCGUAACUAUAACGGUCCUAAGGUAGCGAAAUUCCUUGUCGGGUAAGUUCCGACCUGCACGAAUGGCGUAAUGAUGGCCAGGCUGUCUCCACCCGAGACUCAGUGAAAUUGAACUCGCUGUGAAGAUGCAGUGUACCCGCGGCAAGACGGAAAGACCCCGUGAACCUUUACUAUAGCUUGACACUGAACAUUGAGCCUUGAUGUGUAGGAUAGGUGGGAGGCUUUGAAGUGUGGACGCCAGUCUGCAUGGAGCCGACCUUGAAAUACCACCCUUUAAUGUUUGAUGUUCUAACGUGGACCCGUAAUCCGGGUUGCGGACAGUGUCUGGUGGGUAGUUUGACUGGGGCGGUCUCCUCCUAAAGAGUAACGGAGGAGCACGAAGGUUGGCUAAUCCUGGUCGGACAUCAGGAGGUUAGUGCAAUGGCAUAAGCCAGCUUGACUGCGAGCGUGACGGCGCGAGCAGGUGCGAAAGCAGGUCAUAGUGAUCCGGUGGUUCUGAAUGGAAGGGCCAUCGCUCAACGGAUAAAAGGUACUCCGGGGAUAACAGGCUGAUACCGCCCAAGAGUUCAUAUCGACGGCGGUGUUUGGCACCUCGAUGUCGGCUCAUCACAUCCUGGGGCUGAAGUAGGUCCCAAGGGUAUGGCUGUUCGCCAUUUAAAGUGGUACGCGAGCUGGGUUUAGAACGUCGUGAGACAGUUCGGUCCCUAUCUGCCGUGGGCGCUGGAGAACUGAGGGGGGCUGCUCCUAGUACGAGAGGACCGGAGUGGACGCAUCACUGGUGUUCGGGUUGUCAUGCCAAUGGCACUGCCCGGUAGCUAAAUGCGGAAGAGAUAAGUGCUGAAAGCAUCUAAGCACGAAACUUGCCCCGA
rnacentral:rRNA from 1 species